CCACGGGUUGCUCCAGUAGGGAAUAUUGCACAAUGGGCGAAAGCCUGAUGCAGCAACGCCGCGUGCGCGAUGAAGGCCUUCGGGUUGUAAAGCGCUUUUCUGAGGGAAGAGGAAGGACUGUACCUCAGGAAUAAGUCUCGGCUAACUACGUGCCAGCAGCCGCGGUAACACGUAGGAGGCAAGCGUUAUCCGGAUUUACUGGGCGUAAAGCGCGUGUAGGCGGUUUGGCAAGGCGGAUGUGAAAGCUCCUGGCUCAACUGGGAGAGGUCGUUCGAAACUGCCAGACUAGAGGACGGUAGAGGAAGAUGGAAUUCCCGGUGUAGUAGUGAAAUGCGUAGAUAUCGGGAGGAACACCAGUGGCGAAGGCGGUCUUCUGGCCGUUCCUGACGCUGAGACGCGAAAGCAUGGGUAGCGAACGGGAUUAGAUACCCUUGUAGUC
rnacentral:rRNA from 1 species